CAGUGUUUGAAUGGAAUUCAGCCCUCGAGCUUGAAUACCCUCGAAUUGAUUGGUGCAAGAAUAGUUAAAAAUAUAAUAAGUUGAUGAACAAGAAUAUGAGCUAAGGAGAAAGUGUUACAUUGCUUUGAUACGUGAGAACAAUCUGUCUUACAAAUAAUUAGAACCAUCUUUAUAUAGUACAGGAAUCCUAUCUAUGGUACAAUUCUAAUUAUGGAAGUAAAUCUCAUGAUUAACUAAACAACCACCCUUGAUUUGAUCUGUUCCGAGAUUUUCGUCACGAUUUUCGACUAGUCACGGUCUUGCUCGAUUUUUGUCCUGCUCAACCUCGAUCAUUAUCGGUUUCGACCUUCCUAGGUACCCUGAAUCUGAACUCGGUGUCGUAUCCUCGUGCUUCGAUCUGAUCUAUUACGGGAUCGAUUUCGAUCCUUCACACCAGCCUCAAUAAAUCAGCAAAAUCGAGUGAGUCCAAUUUUAACUGUAUACAGCAAGUUAUGGAUCCUAAAUGAUUAUUUUAUUUUCUUGAUCAAUCUCAAUUGAUUAAUUUGUUUUCUUGAUCAAUCUCAAAACUAAUAUCUACAUGACACUUUUGCAUAUAUUUGAUGCUAAUAUAUUAGAUAGACUCUUCAGUUUCUUUUACUUUUUGGAGUAUGUAAUGUAAGAAAAAAUAGGAUUUAAGCUAUAUACAUCCAGGAAGUAUAAAGAUUUUUUUUAUACCAUAAGUGCAAUUUAACCUAUUACACUAGGUUAGUUAUCAUUAUAUUUACCAAGUUACCAAAUAAUGCACAUUGUAAAAAUUACCUGUAAUUAUCUUAUAAGUGACAUGGUUGUGUAAAUAUUUUUUUACGCUUUCUAUGGAAUUUAAACUCUAAAAAGGGCCAAAUUGGUACAGGAUUGCUAGACAUUCAUACAUACAUACGUAUAGGUGCAUAAAUUAAGCUCGAAUAGGCAGAUGACUAAACACUUCAGCAAACACAAGAAUGUCAACUUUACUAGGUCAUAUAUUCUUCAAAUAGUUGUUGAAGGGCAACCAAGUAAUGAAAAUCAUGCCAAUCAUUUACCUACCAAAAUGAACUUGUAAUAGUUAAAUGGUGCACCACUAGUUAAACUUAUGUUAGGUUAUUAACUAUAUUUCCACAAAACAAAAGUACAGUACGUGUCAUCGUGUAAUUAAUUAAUUUGAAACCAUAAAAUAAAAUGCAAGCUUGUAAACUUAUUAACAAGCAUGUCGAUCUUUCUCGUGUCCUGGAAAUUUGUUUUACUUGCUCAAUCUUGAUAUUAUCUGCAUAGAAAACUAGACAUGACAAACAAACAAGCACACACAUCACAAGAAAUACAUUCGUGGGUGAAAAGUAAAACCUUGUCGAGAAUCUGGCGACCUAAAAUCAGAAAUACUGAGGUCUAGUCUCAUUUACUCCGUCAGAUCAAGUUCACUAUUUUUGGGGUUUUCCUAAAGAAAGUUUAAGAAAAAAAUAUUAUUUGGAUCCUUGACUUUGAUUUCCUGAGAAUUUCCACAAAAACUGAUAAACAUGAACUUAAAAUAAUAAAUUAAAGAAAAAGAAGUUUAAUAACAACAGUAGUUCCACAGAAAUUUGGCUUCCAUUAACGGGAAAGAGUUUUGUUGGCUUAUUUGCAAUUGGACAUGCCUAAAGUGCAACAAUCAUAUGUCAUUAGAACCAUCAUUGUGUUAUAAUACUAGACUAGGAGUUAAAAAAGGAAUUAAGAAGAUAAUCCACAGUAAAAAUAAAGAUACAGAAUAAUUACCUGAGAUAAAUCAAUGUCUUGACUAUAUAUCCUUGAGAGAGUAAGUCAAGCUCAAAUGAAGCCUUUUAAUUUGUUUCUGUAUUGGUGGUGAGUGAUUGAAGCUGCUAGAUGACCUGAUGGAACCAAACCCAUGAAAGCUACCUAUAUUCUCUUUCAAUAAAAACUUUGCAAAAUUCCAAUUUCUUUUCCAAAUCACUUAGCUAAAUUCAAACCCAAAACACCUCAAGAUUAUUCUUUGCAAGAAAAUAUAUAUAUAGCAAGAAAUGGACUUUGUUCGUACCAGAUCAUGCUGGCAGCUUCAACCUCUCAAAAACCAAUAUACAAAUAUAUACUCUAUAACAAGAAUGGAUUCAAGAAAGAGCAAAUAAUGAAGAAAGGGUAAUAGUCUAUUUGAGGAAGCAUUUUAAGGUAUAAGAAGGAAGUGGGGCUUUUUGCCUUCGGUGUGGCUGAUGCAACACAAAACACACAAGAAGCAUGCAUGCUUUGGGUUUUGCAGAAAAUGGAUGGAUGUCCCUCGUGAAUCUCCCCUCCAUCUACUACUCCUAUAUAUAUAUAAAUUCCCCUCUUUACUUUUUCCUUUUCCUCCCCUUGUUUGCACUCUUGUCACUAUAUAGAGGCUUUUAAUGAUUUGAAAAGGGUGCGCUAAGCUCCCGCUACGUGCGUGGUUUGUGAAAGGGUCGGAUUACAAAGGUUUAUCGUACGUAAUCUUACCUUGUAUUUCUGCAAAAUAUUGUUUCAAAAUUUAAACAUUGUGAGUUCUGAAUUUGAAAGAAUAUAGAUUAUUUAAAUUUAAUUAUACUAACUUCUAUAGAACUCAUUGUUGGAUCCAUCCAUUAAUUGGUUUUUGCUAAUUCUUACAGCUGUUGACAUUGACUUAUUGCCUCCUUGCCUGAACGUUUCUUUUUCUAGUAUUUUCUCUCUUUUCCCC
rnacentral:lncRNA from 1 species